rnacentral:misc_RNA from 1 species
UCGUAACAAGGUUUCCGUAGGUGAACCUGCGGAAGGAUCAUUACCGAGUGCGGGUUCCAACGAGCCCAACCUCCCACCCGUGUUUACCAUGACCGCGUUGCCUCGGCGGGCCCACUGGGGCCUGGCCCCGGUCGCCGGGGGGCUUCUGCCCCCGGGUCCGCGCCCGCCGAAGCGCCCUGGAACCCUGUCUGAAUAGUGAGUCUGAGUCUAUGAUUAAAUCAUUAAAACUUUCAACAACGGAUCUCUUGGUUCCGGCAUCGAUGAAGAACGCAGCGAAAUGCGAUAAGUAAUGUGAAUUGCAGAAUUCCGUGAAUCAUCGAAUCUUUGAACGCACAUUGCGCCCCCUGGCAUUCCGGGGGGCAUGCCUGUCCGAGCGUCAUUUCUGCCCUCCAGCCCGGCUGGGUGUUGGGUGUUGUCCCCCCGGGGACACGCCCCAAAGGCAGUGGCGGCGCCGCGUCGGGUCCUCGAGCGUAUGGGGCUUUGUCACCCGCUCGGGACGGACUCGUCGGCGCUGGUCUUCCUCCAGGCGACCCUUCGGGGCCCGUCUACCUUCGGUUGACCUCGGAUCAGGUAGGGUUACCCGCUGAACUUAAGCAUAUCA